UCCAGGUGGUGAGGCACACCUGCUCUCAAUUAUCAGAGCAGUAUUUAAGGAGAGCAUUGGUGUGUCCUUGUCAGCAGAUUAUACCUGUUAGUAACAUUAUUGCAUACCCAUGUCAGAAAUCGGUAUUAUGGACCAUGACCUUGUUGAGCCUGGCUUUAAACAGUGAACUAGCUCCCCAGCGGUAGAAGACCUGCGCUUACAGUGAAUCCCUUUGCAGCCCUGGAACACUGCUACCUGCCUUCUUUACACCACCCUGCUACCGGCUCUGCCUCAACAGGGAGCCUGCACACCAGACCAGCAAUCUCCUGCGCCAGCUCCCACCUCGCUGGACUACUCCCUGUGUCAGCGGUGCACUCGGCUAUUCAGUGAGCUGCGCCUCUUCUUCAAACCCGGGUAACAUCUCCAGUAGUCCAGUCAACACAGUUUGCCCAGCUGCCCAGCUCUGU